CGACCAGGACCCGCCGCCGCAGGAGUUCGUGCCGUUCCCCCAGAUCCCGCCCCCGGAACUCGCCAGCGUCGUCAAGUUCAUCCGCGAGAGUUUUCUGGGUGAGCAUGUGUAUGAUGUUCAGAGAGGCCAUGCUCUUGUUCUGGAGGACACUGCAACCCAUACGCUCGCGGCGCGCUCUCUGCUGCACCGUGAUCGUGAUACCUCGACUUCCAUGCCAAUAAACAAGAGAUCACCUCUUCAUGAAUAGGAUGGUGCAUGAGUGUGGCCAGUAUGCUCUCCUUCCAGAGGAGAUCAGGAGCAGUUCGUCAUGCUUCCACAGUGUGGAGGAUGGGCAUUCCUGUUUCUUUGUGAGCGUUUCAAGAAAUGCUCAUUGUAUAGGUGCAAAAUUAAUAGCACUAAAAGCUGGAAGUGCGCCGUUUGCAUCUGUGGCCUUUUCCUAUGCAGAUCUCCCUGAAUAUUUAGUGGAGGGGUACAUUGUUGGGCUAGGACUAACAGAUUGCACCUUGUUCACCAUUCGGCUUCCAGAAGAAACUUUAGUUUGCUGGGAAUUUCUACAAUUGGCACGUGUAGAGGGCUCUGGCACGGAUAUAACCUUCGAGUCUGGAAGCGCCAGUUAGAUGGUGAUGUUGCAUGUGAAUGGGAGAUGUCUCGCAACAUAUUUUUGCCUUGGGCAUUUGAAUGUCAUGACAAAAGGGUGUUGGAAUCAGUGGGAUGGACUCCGAAAAGGAGGGAGCGGCCCCGGUGUGUUAUUUAUUCAGUUGGUGAUGAUGCAGCUUUUGUAUUUCUUGGCGUUUUGGCUGAUGAGGGAUUGUACUAUUUGGACCUGAAGAACUUGGCGCUUGAGCUGGUUGGGAGCAUGGAUGGCAUGAUUAAUAACGCCAUUAUUCCUGUAAUGAUGGUUUGGUCAGCUGUCUUCCCAGCGCUAAGAGAAACUGAAUUACCUGCAGAGAAGAUAAAGGAGGUGGUUGUUGGUAUGAAUACAAGUCAUACUCAGAAGCUAUUGAAUCACACGCUCUCUCCUAAGAACGUACGUCGUCUCCCACUGAAAGCAUAAAGCCGUUGGAGCGAACC